UUGUUGCAGCGGUGGCGAGACAGUUGAUGCGAGCCCGUCUCUUCUACCGGAAUCGCAUCUAUGGAAAAAAUAUCUACCGGGCCGGGUACUUCACGACACGUUCCGGGAGACGUCGGGAGAAUCUUCGGGUUCAUCUUUGAGGACAUCCGCAGUGCUCAAAACAGCAGACUGACGACUAAGUCUUUCCCAGGCAUAUGAGUCUAUAAUGACGAGUUUCAAUUUCUGCAUAGGAACUCUGACAGUAGAAGUCGUGACUGCAGAAUCAGUGCACAGUUUUGCAACACGGUUGGACCUGUGCUGUGGGAAGAAGGAGAACUGCGUGUGACAGGAGGGUGACACGGCAGGCAGCAAAUCCUAAUUCACCAAGGAAUCCUGCACGAUAUCCCCCACAAGCAAAAUUCAUGUCUGGACGCACUAAGAGAGAAGCUGGAUAAGGGAGGUGCCAGGUACCAGCGUCACUGGAGGUGUUUUUCGACAUCAGUGCAUCAUCAAGCCAAGGAGGCACCAAGCCCAACACUGGGAAGACGCAGGGAAGGAGACAUCUCUCAGCAUCUUCCAUGAUCAACUACAGCUGAAAUGGUGGAACUGAUCCCGGUGAGAGGUUGCCAUCUCCACAGCCAGAAAGGCCGGUGUUCGUGUGUGCCCCAUACCAGAGGACCUGGAACUGUUAAGUUCGUACAUGUCUUGUAAGGGGUUUGAUCGUUUGAAACGGAACCAUCUUACAGAAAUGGGCUGGGAUUGGCCUGAUAGGAAGUAAAUGAUCUGUGAUGUUACAUUCAUAACUUUAGCUGAUAUUAAGAUUCCCUUUGUCUACCUGAGACAUUGUCAGCAGGGCUGAUCACAAUCUCUUGUUGGUGGUGAGGUGUUUGAGUGUGUUUUGUUGACACCCUGAGUGAUGUUGUUGGUAGGUGGCUAGGGCAUUUUGUGAGUGGGGGCUUCUUUUGCACACGGGACUUCAGCUCGUUUCUGUGGUGUACAGGCCCGGUGUGUGGCUGGUUUGGCUUCUGUGACUGUGUUGAUGGCUGAGAUUGUGUUC